UGCCUGACGACCAUAGAGCGUUGGAACCACCUGAUCCCAUGCCGAACUCAGAAGUGAAACAACGCAUCGCCGAUGGUAGUGUGGGGCUUCCCCAUGUGAGAGUAGGUCAUCGUCAGGCUC
rnacentral:rRNA from 1 species